UACGUAGGGAGCAAGCGUUGUCCGGAAUCAUUGGGCGUAAAGCGCGCGUAGGUGGCUCUAUAAGUCCGUUGUGAAAGUCAAAGGCUCAACCUUUGAAAGCCGAUGGAUACUGUGGAGCUAGAGUACGGAAGAGGCGAGUGGAAUUCCUGGUGUAGCGGUGGAAUGCGCAGAUAUCAGGAGGAACACCAAUAGCGAAGGCAGCUCGCUGGGACGUUACUGACACUGAGGCGCGAAAGCGUGGGGGGCGAACAGG
rnacentral:rRNA from 1 species